rnacentral:rRNA from 1 species
AAUAGAUACCCAGGUAGUCCACGCCGUAAACGAUGUCGACUUGGAGGUUGUUCCCUUGAGGAGUGGCUUCCGGAGCUAACGCGUUAAGUCGACCGCCUGGGGAGUACGGCCGCAAGGUUAAAACUCAAAUGAAUUGACGGGGGCCCGCACAAGCGGUGGAGCAUGUGGUUUAAUUCGAUGCAACGCGAAGAACCUUACCUACUCUUGACAUCCAGAGAACUUAGCAGAGAUGCUUUGGUGCCUUCGGGAACUCUGAGACAGGUGCUGCAUGGCUGUCGUCAGCUCGUGUUGUGAAAUGUUGGGUUAAGUCCCGCAACGAGCGCAACCCUUAUCCUUUGUUGCCAGCGGUUCGGCCGGGAACUCAAAGGAGACUGCCAGUGAUAAACUGGAGGAAGGUGGGGAUGACGUCAAGUCAUCAUGGCCCUUACGAGUAGGGCUACACACGUGCUACAAUGGCGUAUACAAAGAGAAGCGACCUCGCGAGAGCAAGCGGACCUCGUAAAGUACGUCGUAGUCCGGAUUGGAGU